GUCAGGAUGGCCGAGUGGUCUAAGGCGCCAGACUCAAGGCUCUGCUUUCCCUCCCUGGGGUUUUCUGGUCUCCGAAUGGAGGCGUGGGUUCAAAUCCCACUUCUGACA
rfam:Anas platyrhynchos breed Pekin duck contig64202, whole genome shotgun sequence.